rnacentral:rRNA from 1 species
AUGUUUCUAGAAACUUUCGGAGACGAGCCGAAAGUAGAGAGUCGUGUGUACCAAAAGCCUUAUCCUGAACACUUCGAUGCAAUUUCUUACCCUCAAGGUUAUAAGGUUCCUGAUUUUGUUAAAUUUAGUGGUGAGGGUACGAAAACAACUUGGGAGCAUGUGAGUCAGUAUCUAGCACAGUUGGGUGAAGCAGGUUCCAUAGAAGAAUUGAAAGUGCGUUUAUUUCCAUUAUCUUUAACUGGUACCGCAUUUUCAUGGUUUGCUGCUUUACCACAUGGCUCGAUUCUCUUAUGGUCGCAGUUAGAGCAAAAGUUUCAUGAUCACUUUUAUAGCGGCGAUAAUGAGCUAAAGUUGUCACAUCUUACAUCGGUUAGGCAGAAACAUGAUGAAUCGGUCACCGAUUAUGUCAAGAGGUUUAGAGAUAUAAAAAACCGAUGUUAUAGCUUAGUGAUAACUGAGAGAGACUUGGCAGAUCUUGUUCUUAAUGGUUUGAAAACUCACAUUAAAGAGAGGCUAGAAAGUUAUGAGUUUUCGAGCAUUAAUCAAGUCUUACAAAAAGCUUUGGCCCAAGAGAGUCAAAGUAAAGAGGUCCAUAGGUCUACAACCGAUCGUCCUAGAAUGCAUAUGGUUGAACACGAUGAUGAUAAUUCAGACGAUGAGGUUGAUGUCUAUACUACUGAAUUUGUUUGGUCCUCAAAGGCCAAACCCUAUAUGUGCAAUGCUCUUAAGCCGAUUCGCAAGAAUCGUGAUGAGCAGAUGAGGUUUACUUUUGAUAUAUCAAAGUGUGAUAAAAUAUUUGAUGCUCUCUUGCAAGAUAAGAUGAUUAGAAUAUCACACACCAUACCGCCGUUUGAGGAGCUGAAACGGCGUGCUUAUUGCAAGUACCAUAAUUCAUUUUCUCAUGCUACUAACGAUUGCAAUGUUUUCCGACGACAGAUACAAUCGGCCAUUAAUGACGGACGAUUGAAUUUUGCUGAGAUGCAAGUUGAUAAACAACCCUUGCCGAUAAACACCAUGGACUUGGAGGGAAAGAAAAUGUUGAUUCGGCCUAGCAUAGCCGAAUCUGCUAACAAAGAUAAUGUUGUUAUUGGUGAACCCAGGAAAGGCAAGGAGGGCGACAAAGUAUUGGGACGAGAGGUUGUGCUUGAUAAGCAACCCGAUGGCAAAGAAAUAUUGAAGAUCACCAUAAAAAAUCCUUCACUCGGGGGGCAACCACAAGUACAAGAAGAUACUCAUGUUAAAUUUAUCAAGCCCAAGAAUUCUUAA